rnacentral:rRNA from 1 species
UACAGAGGUCUCAAGCGUUGUUCGGAUUCAUUGGGCGUAAAGGGUGCGUAGGCGGCGGGGUAAGUCUGAUGUGAAAUCCCGGGGCUCAACUCCGGAACUGCAUUGGAUACUGCCUUGCUUGAGUACUGGAGAGGAGACUGGAAUUUACGGUGUAGCAGUGAAAUGCGUAGAGAUCGUAAGGAAGACCAGUGGCGAAGGCGAGUCUCUGGACAGUUACUGACGCUGAGGCACGAAAGCGUGGGGAGCAAACAGG